AUGAGACUCUUGCUUCCCUUUGAAAGAGGCAGACCCCUACUUCAAUUGUCAUCUGACGCCUCUACCCCAGCUGUGGACUCAGACCUCUCACAACCAAAAAAAAGAAAAUCAAAAUCAAACGAAUCCGAAUAUAACCAAUCUAUCGCCUUUGAUGACUCGUUGACAGCCUCCUCAACCCAAGCUUCCAUCUCCUGCUCCAGACAUCGGCGCUUGCCCGCGCCAGUCCAUGAAAGGUGGAUGAAGGUGAGUUUGACUACGAACUCGAGGAUGCUGGGAACGAUCUCUUUUCGGGGAAUCACUCCCGUCGAGAGGCCCUCUUCCUCCCUUUUUCUGAAUCUGGUAGAGAGGCAAAAGAGAAGUCCAGAGAGACCUCGAAUCUUUCAGGGAAAGGAGGGAGAUCGAAUGCGAGAUGGAGUCCCUGCCGAAUGGAAUGGACAUCCUUGGGGACAGCUGUGUAAGACUUAA
rnacentral:rRNA from 1 species